ACUUAUGGUGGAGAAUUGUUGGAGCUUCCAAUUUGAUAGAAAAUGAUCCCAUGAUCAUGAACCGAUCUUACUUGGGAUCCCAAGUACCAAGUGGCUGAAAAUCUUAUGUCAAAAGGACCAAUGAUGAUGAAGUAGCAAGGCCUCGAAGAAUGAAAAAUUCUUGCAUCUUCUUCCCUAUACUUCUUCUCAUUUUCUUUUGUUUGGGUUCAAAGAUGUUCCUCGUUCUUGGUUUGCAAAGUAAAGAAAUUGAGCUUGCAGGAUCAUGGAUUUUAGGCUUUCUCUACUAGUGCAAGUGGUCAAGGAUUGCUUGAUCAAUUUGGAGGCACUUCCAUCUCCGAGAAGUGGAAAGAACUCCACAGUUUGUUGUUCAGGCUUAUAUGGCCAGGCCAAAGAAUGUGAACCUUUUGGAGACAGGUCUAUUGAAGAUCAGUUAUUGUGAUGUUUAUUUCCUAGGAACUCUUCAUGUUCUUAUUUAUGUUUUACUAUUUUAAGCUUUCCUAUUAUUAGCUUGUGUUGGAAGUUGUAUUUCUAUUUUUAAUGAAGUUUGUAAGUCUCAAUGUAAGCUUAUAUAAAUGUGUUCAAUGGAAGAUGAAUAGCAAAACCAUA